AAAACACUUUCAGCAACGGAUGUCUUGGUUCCCACAACGAUGAAGAACGCAGCGAAAUGCGAUACGUCAUGCGAAUUGCAGAAUCCAGUGAGUCAUCAAAAUUUUGAACGCAACUUGCACUGCC
rnacentral:rRNA from 1 species